rnacentral:misc_RNA from 1 species
GUAGGUGAACCUGCGGAAGGAUCAUUACCAAUCCAAAACUUUUAUAAACCACUUUGUGCACUAUGAACCCGAAUCCUUACCCCUUUCAAUUGCAAAAGAAAGAAAGACAGGCAAUUUCGAUUGUCUUAGCCUUUCCUUCUUUGUGAAAGGGAGGGGUAAGGAGUUUUUCCCUCUCUCUCACUUCUUUUGGAGUGAGAGACGAGGCUAAGACACACAUAAACAAAAACAUCUUUUCUUACAAAAAACUCUUAACAGUCAUGUUAAAAGGAUUUUUUGCCAAAAAAUCUUACAUGUUUGAAUGCUUAUAGCAAACAAAACUAAAAAAAAUGACAACUUUUAACGGUGGAUCUCUUGGCUCGU